rnacentral:rRNA from 1 species
UGGCGGCGCGCCUAACACAUGCAAGUCGCACGAGAAAGCGGAGCAACUCGCAAGUAAAGUGGCGUACGGGUGAGUAACACGUGGAUCAUCUGCCCUGGAGUGGGGAAUAACGCUGGGAAACCGGCGCUAAUACCGCAUAUACCCGGGGGAAAGCAGCAAUGCGCUCGAGGAGGAGUCCGCGGCCGAUUAGCUAGUUGGCAGGGUAAAAGCCUACCAAGGCUAUGAUCGGUAGCCGGCCUGAGAGGGCACACGGCCACACUGGCACUGAAACACGGGCCAGACUCCUACGGGAGGCAGCAGUGGGGAAUCUUGCACAAUGGGGGAAACCCUGAUGCAGCGACGCCGCGUGAGCGAUGAAGCCCUUCGGGGUGUAAAGCUCUUUCGGCAGGGAAGAUUAUGACGGUACCUGCAGAAGCAGCUGCGGCUAACUACGUGCCAGCAGCCGCGGUAAUACGUAGGCAGCAAGCGUUGUUCGGAGUUACUGGGCGUAAAGGGUGUGUAGGUGGCUCGCUAAGUUCCGUGUGAAAUCUCCCGGCUCAACCGGGAGGGUGCGCGGAAAACUGGCGGGCUAGAGUACGGGAUGGGAGAGUAGAAUUCCUGGUGUAGCGGUGAAAUGCGUAGAUAUCAGGAGGAAUACCGGUGGUGUAGACGGCUCUCUGGACCGUAACUGACACUGAAACACGAAAGCGUGGGUAGCAAACAGGAUUAGAUACCCUGGUAGUCCACGCCCUAAACGAUGCAUAUUUGGUGUAGGUCAUUCAGUUGAUCUGUGCCGGAGCUAACGCGUU